UUGAACGCUGGCGGCAGGCCUAACACCUGCAAGUCGCGCGGAUGAAGGGAGCUUGCUCCUGGAUUCAGCGGCGGACGGGUGAGUAAUGCCUAGGAAUCUGCCUGGUAGUGGGGGAUAACGUCCGGAAACGGGCGCUAAUACCGCAUACGUCCUGAGGGAGAAAGUGGGGGAUCUUCGGACCUCACGCUAUCAGAUGAGCCUAGGUCGGAUUAGCUAGUUGGUGGGGUAAAGGCCUACCAAGGCGACGAUCCGUAACUGGUCUGAGAGGAUGAUCAGUCACACUGGAACUGAGACACGGUCCAGACUCCUACGGGAGGCAGCAGUGGGGAAUAUUGGACAAUGGGCGAAAGCCUGAUCCAGCCAUGCCGCGUGUGUGAAGAAGGUCCUCGGAUUGUAAAGCACUUUAAGUUGGGAGGAAGGGCAGUAAGUUAAUACCUUGCUGUUUUGACGUUACCAACAGAAUAAGCACCGGCUAACUUCGUG
rnacentral:rRNA from 1 species